rnacentral:lncRNA from 1 species
UAUACCCUCAAAAAUCAUAAUAAAGCAGGUAGCUGAUAAUCAAAUCAGUAUUUUAAACAAUGCUACCAUAAGUAUUUCUCCCCCCUUCUCCUUGCACGCGUUUUUCUCUUCAGGAUUAUCAACUUCUAUUAUAAGGAUUACCAACUGCAAGAACCCGCUCCCGCUUUUGAGAACAUAUAACAUUCUGUAUUCAUAUUCAAAGACUCCUGUAAGCAGGACCGGGCACGCACAAACAUGAAUUCAAAUAUGCGUGCAACAUGGGUAUAUUGAAAAAAACAAAAAAACAGUGCAACGUGCUUGGUAGGAUAAUAAGUUUUGUUUGUGCUCCAGGGUGCAGAACGGGCUAUGAAAACGAGCCACAACAGUUUGGGGUGACUAUCUAUUUUUGACCAAGCAAAGAGAGAACCCCCGGACUUGAUACCGCCAGGCUGAGAGCCAUUCUAAGAGAAACAGAUCUGAAGAAGACAGAUUAGGCACCAUCCAAAAGUACAAAGCUGUGUUCCCUGUAUUUCAACGAAUCUGAUUUCAUCUGUGAGUUAAAAGAAGUCAGACCCUUGGCAAGGCUCUAAAGAAGAGUACCUCAAACCAGAUGAGGUACCAUGACUAUGGCCAAACUGACCCAACUACCUCUCCAAUUUACCAUCAAUUUGGCCUCCUUUCUGGGAGCAAAAGAAGAAAUUAAUCAAACAGAGACCUGAGAAGACAUUCAACUAAGUGGAGGGAUCUACUACAUCAGCGUGAGACAGAUUCUGGAAGCAGAGAAAAAGAUUGUAUUCUGAGUCUUGUCAAAUUCUCAGGUAUGACUACUUCAGAAAUUAAAGCUCUGCUGGAAGAAGACCUGGUAAAAGCUAGCUCAUUUUAACUAACUGGAACUAGCUUCCAAGGGAGAGAGUAAUGCUUUCUACUUUGUUGCCGGGUAUAUUGGUUUUUCUUUAAAGAAGAUCAGCUGUGCAUCAUGCCAAGAGUUAAUGGUCAUCAGAGACACACCUCCGGACUCAAUAACCUUCGAUAGCCCAACUAAUCAGCAUGUAGACCUUAAAGAAGUCAUCGACAUAAUGAGCAGAGGGGGGUUGUCGACUCCAUCCGACCUUCUCUACCUCUCCUGUCUUUAUGCUCACUCCAUGUUCUCUUACAUCACAGCUACUCCUGAAGAGAAAGACAGUUUACUUGGCACCCCGAAUCCUAGAGCUUCAUUUGUUGCCACAUUCAUUGACAGGA